UUCUCAAUUUUCCCUUUUCUUGGAGACUAGUGCUUCUCGCCGGAGAUCACCGCCGGGAUCUCGAGAUCUCGCCGGAGGUGGAGAGCCGGAUGAAGGGCUAGCCGGAGGAGAUGAUGGACGCUUUGGAGGAGUCGCUUCCGUUCAGGCAAGUCAUAUCUAGGUUCCCUGGCGGCAAGUCAAAGUCGUUCACUUACCUGGCAGAUGCAGUGUCCCCGGCUUCAUUGGCCCAGAGCCAUACGAAGAAAGAGAAUGCAUGCACACUGCAAGCGCCAGAAUAUAUUCAUCUUGGAUGAAUUUGGUCAGCUGCUCUUUCCCUGUCACCUGACUGGCUCUCUCACGUCUUCUCCUGCAAGUACGUCGAUGUUACCAACUUCGUCCAAUGAAGACAAAUACAUUCAUGUGCAUUCAUUCUCCAGCUUGGCAUGGUUCUUGGCUUAUGAAGCACCAAGACACUAGAUCUGUCUGGUUAGUCCAUGACUUUUUUUAUUUAUAUCAAUCUUCGAUCUUUGAAUCAAUUGAUAGUAGGACACAUCUCUAACCAUCCGAGAAUAAGUAGAUUAAUGGUUAGUCAAUGACUUUGGAUUUGCCGUUAUGGAACCUUCGAUAUACCUUGCCUGUGAAGAAACAAUUGCCUCGUAGUCACAAUUCUUCUUCUUCUUCUUCUUCUUUUUAUGAGGAAAAAGAGAGAAAUUUACCUUGAAUAUCAUGGAGAAUGAAGAUUUACUGUAAUUUUAAUGAGUUAAAAAAUUUAAUAACACUUAAGUUCUUUAAAAACAGACUGCAAGUCAGUUAAUAAUAAUGACCAUUUUGUAU